UACGAAGGGUGCAAACGUUGCUCGGAAUUAUUGGGCGUAAAGCGCACGUAGGCGGCUUGGCAAGUCGGAUGUGAAAUCCCUCGGCUCAACCAAGGAAGUGCAUCCGAAACUGCCGAGCUUGAGUACUUAAGAGGAUCGCGGAAUUCCCGGUGUAGAGGUGAAAUUCGUAGAUAUCGGGAGGAACACCAGUGGCGAAGGCGGCAUCCUGGACCGACACUGACGCUGAGGAGCGAAAGCCAGGGGAGCAAACGGG
rnacentral:rRNA from 1 species